rnacentral:rRNA from 1 species
UGGCUCAGGAUGAACGCUGGCGGCGUGCCUAAUACAUGCAAGUCGAGCGAACGGACGAGAAGCUUGCUUCUCUGAUGUUAGCGGCGGACGGGUGAGUAACACGUGGAUAACCUACCUAUAAGACUGGGAUAACUUCGGGAAACCGGAGCUAAUACCGGAUAAUAUUUUGAACCGCAUGGUUCAAAAGUGAAAGACGGUCUUGCUGUCACUUAUAGAUGGAUCCGCGCUGCAUUAGCUAGUUGGUAAGGUAACGGCUUACCAAGGCAACGAUGCAUAGCCGACCUGAGAGGGUGAUCGGCCACACUGGAACUGAGACACGGUCCAGACUCCUACGGGAGGCAGCAGUAGGGAAUCUUCCGCAAUGGGCGAAAGCCUGACGGAGCAACGCCGCGUGAGUGAUGAAGGUCUUCGGAUCGUAAAACUCUGUUAUUAGGGAAGAACAUAUGUGUAAGUAACUGUGCACAUCUUGACGGUACCUAAUCAGAAAGCCACGGCUAACUACGUGCCAGCAGCCGCGGUAAUACGUAGGUGGCAAGCGUUAUCCGGAAUUAUUGGGCGUAAAGCGCGCGUAGGCGGUUUUUUAAGUCUGAUGUGAAAGCCCACGGCUCAACCGUGGAGGGUCAUUGGAAACUGGAAAACUUGAGUGCAGAAGAGGAAAGUGGAAUUCCAUGUGUAGCGGUGAAAUGCGCAGAGAUAUGGAGGAACACCAGUGGCGAAGGCGACUUUCUGGUCUGUAACUGACGCUGAUGUGCGAAAGCGUGGGGAUCAAACAGGAUUAGAUACCCUGGUAGUCCACGCCGUAAACGAUGAGUGCUAAGUGUUAGGGGGUUUCCGCCCCUUAGUGCUGCAGCUAACGCAUUAAGCACUCCGCCUGGGGAGUACGACCGCAAGGUUGAAACUCAAAGGAAUUGACGGGGACCCGCACAAGCGGUGGAGCAUGUGGUUUAAUUCGAAGCAACGCGAAGAACCUUACCAAAUCUUGACAUCCUUUGACAACUCUAGAGAUAGAGCUUUCCCCUUCGGGGGACAAAGUGACAGGUGGUGCAUGGUUGUCGUCAGCUCGUGUCGUGAGAUGUUGGGUUAAGUCCCGCAACGAGCGCAACCCUUAAGCUUAGUUGCCAUCAUUAAGUUGGGCACUCUAAGUUGACUGCCGGUGACAAACCGGAGGAAGGUGGGGAUGACGUCAAAUCAUCAUGCCCCUUAUGAUUUGGGCUACACACGUGCUACAAUGGACAAUACAAAGGGCAGCGAAACCGCGAGGUCAAGCAAAUCCCAUAAAGUUGUUCUCAGUUCGGAUUGUAGUCUGCAACUCGACUACAUGAAGCUGGAAUCGCUAGUAAUCGUAGAUCAGCAUGCUACGGUGAAUACGUUCCCGGGUCUUGUACACACCGCCCGUCACACCACGAGAGUUUGUAACACCCGAAGCCGGUGGAGUAACCUUUUAGGAGCUAGCCGUCGAAGGUGGGACAAAUGAUUGGGGUGAAGUCGUAACAAGGUAGCCGUAUCGGAAGGUGCGGCUGGAUCACCUCCUUUCUAAGGAUAUAUUCGGAACAUCUUCUUCAGAAGAUGCGGAAUAACGUGACAUAUUGUAUUCAGUUUUGAAUGUUUAUUUAACAUUCAAAUAUUUUUUGGUUAAAGUGAUAUUGCUUUUGAAAAUAAAGCAGUAUGCGAGCGCUUGACUAAAAAGAAAUUGUACAUUGAAAACUAGAUAAGUAAGUAAAAUAUAGAUUUUACCAAGCAAAACCGAGUGAAUAAAGAGUUUUAAAUAAGCUUGAAUUCAUAAGAAAUAAUCGCUAGUGUUCGAAAGAACACUCACAAGAUUAAUAACGCG